UUUGUUUUGAUAUUUUCUCGCUCAGGACGAACGCUGGCGGCGUGCCUAAUACAUGCAAGUCGAGCGGACAGAUGGGAGCUUGCUCCCUGAUGUUAGCGGCGGACGGGUGAGUAACACGUGGGUAACCUGCCUGUAAGACUGGGAUAACUCCGGGAAACCGGGGCUAAUACCGGAUGCUUGUUUGAACCGCAUGGUUCAAACAUAAAAGGUGGCUUCGGCUACCACUUACAGAUGGACCCGCGGCGCAUUAGCUAGUUGGUGAGGUAAUGGCUCACCAAGGCAACGAUGCGUAGCCGACCUGAGAGGGUGAUCGGCCACACUGGGACUGAGACACGGCCCAGACUCCUACGGGAGGCAGCAGUAGGGAAUCUUCCGCAAUGGACGAAAGUCUGACGGAGCAACGCCGCGUGAGUGAUGAAGGUUUUCGGAUCGUAAAGCUCUGUUGUUAGGGAAGAACAAGUACCGUUCGAAUAGGGCGGUACCUUGACGGUACCUAACCAGAAAGCCACGGCUAACUACGUGCCAGCAGCCGCGGUAAUACGUAGGUGGCAAGCGUUGUCCGGAAUUAUUGGGCGUAAAGGGCUCGCAGGCGGUUUCUUAAGUCUGAUGUGAAAGCCCCCGGCUCAACCGGGGAGGGUCAUUGGAAACUGGGGAACUUGAGUGCAGAAGAGGAGAGUGGAAUUCCACGUGUAGCGGUGAAAUGCGUAGAGAUGUGGAGGAACACCAGUGGCGAAGGCGACUCUCUGGUCUGUAAC
rnacentral:rRNA from 1 species